rnacentral:lncRNA from 1 species
AGUUAAUUUAAGCAGUUAAGUAAGUUUACUAUAAAAAAAAAAAAAAAAAACUUAUAUUAAACUAAGUCAUAUUAAAUAUAAAUCAUAUUAAGACCAAUAUAGAUCAGAACAUUUGUUCUGAUUUAUGUCAGAAAGUUAUGAUCACGGAUCAGGUAAAAUGGAUACGAAACUUCGACGAUUUUUACAACUCUGCUUUCCACCGGCCACUUGGGGGCACUGAUAGUCUGAAAAAAAUGGCGUCGGUCGGACAUUCUUGCUGUGCGGCAUCAUUUUGUAAAAAUUAUAAACAGAAAACCCCGCAUUUAUCAUUUUUUAGAUUCCCUAGUGAUUCUAAAAGGUAUGUAUAAUAUUAUAUUUUGUAUUUUAUAUGUAGCAUUGUUGUUAUAACUACUCUGAAGAUAGGUUUUCGUUGUUCUGUUUAUAAAAA